rnacentral:rRNA from 1 species
UACAGAGGGUGCAAGCGUUGUUCGGAAUCACUGGGCGUAAAGCGCGUGUAGGCGGUCGGAUAAGUCCGAUGUGAAAUCCCAUGGCUUAACCAUGGAAGUGCAUUGGAAACUAUCUGGCUUGAGUAUGGGAGAGGGAGGUGGAAUUCCCGGUGUAGAGGUGAAAUUCGUAGAUAUCGGGAAGAACACCGGUGGCGAAGGCGGCCUCCUGGACCAUUACUGACGCUGAGACGCGAAAGCGUGGGGAGCAAACAGG